GGCUGGAUCUUAUAUGGUAUUCUGUCUGUGAACCCCGCCAGAACCGAGAGGUAGCAACGGUAGCAGGUCAGAGUGGGUAUGUAGUGUAUCCAGCUGUC
rnacentral:SRP_RNA from 1 species